AGAGUUUGAUCCUGGCUAUCAGAUGAGCCCAUGUCAGAUUAGCUUGUUGGUGAGGUAAAGGCUCACCAAGGCGACGAUCUGUAACUGGUCUGAGAGGAUGAUCAGUCACACUGGAACUGAGACAUGGUCCAGACUCCUACGGGAGGCAGCAGUGAGGAAUAUUGGACAAUGGGCGCAAGCCUGAUCCAGCCAUGCCGCGUGAGUGAAGAAGGCCUUCGGGUUGUAAAGCUCUUUCAGAUGUGAAGAUAAUGACGGUAGCAUCAGAAGAAGCCCCGGCUAAAUUCGUG
rnacentral:rRNA from 1 species